AAAAUUUCAUAUUUGUCAGCAAAACUUUUCUUUCUUGAGGUCGAUUGUGAAGUGGUAGGGGGGCUACAAAUGAAUUAUCGCUGCAAAGUUUUUUAUAUUCACACUCAAAAGUUUCAUAGAAAGUUCGUUUGGUGAACAUUUGUGCUAAUAUGGGUAACUUUAACCCAGGUAAAAGUUAAAAAUAAGCCGAAGAAUGUGUCAAGAACAUGCACAAAAAGCCCUUCGAGAACUGCUAGAAACUUCCACGAUGACUAACCUUCCUAUUACUCGUUCUUUAUCACCUAUUCCUGGGCCUUCAAACAUAAAAUCGACAUACUCAGUCGACCUAAUCAUCUUCCAUCACCCACAGCUGAAUCCUCAUUUAAUAUUGAAGCUACCGUCUUUCGUACUCCACCACCUACUAACGAUAUCUCAUCACUCAUGGAUCGUGUUGCAUCAUUAUCUGAUUUCAUUUAAUUUUAUCUUAAAUGAUUACUGUCUUAAAUAAAUCCUGAUGCUCCCUGCAGGUCCAACCAA